rnacentral:rRNA from 1 species
ACGCUGGCGGCGUGCCUAAUACAUGCAAGUAGAACGCUGAAGAGAGGAGCUUGCUCUUCUUGGAUGAGUUGCGAACGGGUGAGUAACGCGUAGGUAACCUGCCUUGUAGCGGGGGAUAACUAUUGGAAACGAUAGCUAAUACCGCAUAACAAUGGGUGACACAUGUCAUUUAUUUGAAAGGGGCAAUUGCUCCACUACAAGAUGGACCUGCGUUGUAUUAGCUAGUAGGUGAGGUAACGGCUCACCUAGGCGACGAUACAUAGCCGACCUGAGAGGGUGAUCGGCCACACUGGGACUGAGACACGGCCCAGACUCCUACGGGAGGCAGCAGUAGGGAAUCUUCGGCAAUGGGGGCAACCCUGACCGAGCAACGCCGCGUGAGUGAAGAAGGUUUUCGGAUCGUAAAGCUCUGUUGUAAGUCAAGAACGAAUGUGAGAGUGGAAAGUUCACACUGUGACGGUAGCUUACCAGAAAGGGACGGCUAACUACGUGCCAGCAGCCGCGGUAAUACGUAGGUCCCGAGCGUUGUCCGGAUUUAUUGGGCGUAAAGCGAGCGCAGGCGGUUUGAUAAGUCUGAAGUUAAAGGCUGUGGCUCAACCAUAGUUCGCUUUGGAAACUGUCAAACUUGAGUGCAGAAGGGGAGAGUGGAAUUCCAUGUGUAGCGGUGAAAUGCGUAGAUAUAUGGAGGAACACCGGUGGCGAAAGCGGCUCUCUGGUCUGUAACUGACGCUGAGGCUCGAAAGCGUGGGGAGCGAACAGGAUUAGAUACCCUGGUAGUCCACGCCGUAAACGAUGAGUGCUAGGUGUUGGAUCCUUUCCGGGAUUCAGUGCCGCAGCUAACGCAUUAAGCACUCCGCCUGGGGAGUACGACCGCAAGGUUGAAACUCAAAGGAAUUGACGGGGGGCCCGC